CGACUUGGAGGUUGUGCCCUUGAGGCGUGGCUUCCGGAGCUAACGCGCUAAGUCGACCGCCUGGGGCGUACGGCCGCAAGGUUAAAACUCAAAUGAAUUGACGGGGGCCCGCACAAGCGGUGGAGCAUGUGGUUUAAUUCGAUGCAACGCGAAGAACCUUACCUACUCUUGACAUCCAGAGAACUUUCCAGAGAUGGAUUGGUGCCUUCGGGAACUCUGAGACAGGUGCUGCAUGACUGUCGUCAGCUCGUGUUGUGAAAUGUUGGGUUAAGUCCCGCAACGAGCGCAACCCUUAUCCUUUGUUGCCAGCGGUCCGGCCGGGAACUCAAAGGAGACUGCCAGUGAUAAACUGGAGGAAGGUGGGGAUGACGUCAAGUCAUCAUGGCCCUUACGACCAGGGCUACACACGUGCUACAAUGGCAUAUAUAAAGAGAAGCGACCUCGCGAGAGCAAGCGGACCUCAUAAAGUAUGUCGUAGUCCGGAUUGGAGUCUGCAACUCGACUCCAUGAAGUCGGAAUCGCUAGUAAUCGUGGAUCAGAAUGCCACGGUGAAUACGUUCCCGGGCCUCGUACACACCGCCCGUCACACCAUGGGAGUGGGUUGCAAAAGAAGUAGGUAGCUUAACCUUCGGGAGGGCGCUUACCACUUUGUGAUUCAUGACUGGGAUGAAGUCGUAACAAGGUAAC
rnacentral:rRNA from 1 species